rnacentral:rRNA from 1 species
GUUAUAUGGUCAAGUGAAGAAGCGCAUACGGUGGAUGCCUUGGCAGUCAGAGGCGAUGAAAGACGUGGUAGCCUGCGAAAAGCUUCGGGGAGUCGGCAAACAGACUUUGAUCCGGAGAUGUCUGAAUGGGGGAACCCAGCCAUCAUAAGAUGGUUAUCUUGUACUGAAUACAUAGGUGCAAGAGGCGAACCAGGGGAACUGAAACAUCUAAGUACCCUGAGGAAAAGAAAUCAACCGAGAUUCCCUUAGUAGUGGCGAGCGAACGGGGACUAGCCCUUAAGUGGCUUUGAGAUUAGCGGAACGCUCUGGAAAGUGCGGCCAUAGUGGGUGAUAGCCCUGUACGCGAAAAUCUCUUAGUCAUGAAAUCGAGUAGGACGGAGCACGAGAAACUUUGUCUGAAUAUGGGGGGACCAUCCUCCAAGGCUAAAUACUACUGACUGACCGAUAGUGAACUAGUACCGUGAGGGAAAGGCGAAAAGAACCCCGGAGAGGGGAGUGAAAUAGAUCCUGAAACCGUAUGCGUACAAGCAGUGGGAGCCCACUUUGUUGGGUGACUGCGUACCUUUUGUAUAAUGGGUCAGCGACUUAUUUUCAGUGGCGAGCUUAACCGAAUAGGGGAGGCGUAGCGAAAGCGAGUCUUAAUAGGGCGUAUAGUCGCUGGGAAUAGACCCGAAACCGGGCGAUCUAUCCAUGGGCAGGUUGAAGGUUAGGUAACACUGACUGGAGGACCGAACCGACUACCGUUGAAAAGUUAGCGGAUGACCUGUGGAUCGGAGUGAAAGGCUAAUCAAGCUCGGAGAUAGCUGGUUCUCCUCGAAAGCUAUUUAGGUAGCGCCUCAUGUAUCACUGUAGGGGGUAGAGCACUGUUUCGGCUAGGGGGUCAUCCCGACUUACCAAACCGAUGCAAACUCCGAAUACCUACAAGUGCCGAGCAUGGGAGACACACGGCGGGUGCUAACGUCCGUCGUGAAAAGGGAAACAACCCAGACCGUCAGCUAAGGUCCCAAAGUUAUGGUUAAGUGGGAAACGAUGUGGGAAGGCUUAGACAGCUAGGAGGUUGGCUUAGAAGCAGCCACCCUUUAAAGAAAGCGUAAUAGCUCACUAGUCGAGUCGGCCUGCGCGGAAGAUGUAACGGGGCUCAAACCAUACACCGAAGCUACGGGUAUCACGUAAGUGAUGCGGUAGAGGAGCGUUCUGUAAGCCUGUGAAGGUGAGUUGAGAAGCUUGCUGGAGGUAUCAGAAGUGCGAAUGCUGACAUGAGUAACGACAAUGGGUGUGAAAAACACCCACGCCGAAAGACCAAGGUUUCCUGCGCAACGUUAAUCGACGCAGGGUUAGUCGGUCCCUAAGGCGAGGCUGAAAAGCGUAGUCGAUGGAAAACAGGUUAAUAUUCCUGUACUUCUGGUUAUUGCGAUGGAGGGACGGAGAAGGCUAGGCCAGCUUGGCGUUGGUUGUCCAAGUUUAAGGUGGUAGGCUGAGAUCUUAGGUAAAUCCGGGAUCUUAAGGCCGAGAGCUGAUGACGAGUUACCCUUUGGGUGACGAAGUGGUUGAUGCCAUGCUUCCAAGAAAAGCUUCUAAGCUUCAGGUAACCAGGAACCGUACCCCAAACCGACACAGGUGGUUGGGUAGAGAAUACCAAGGCGCUUGAGAGAACUCGGGUGAAGGAACUAGGCAAAAUGGCACCGUAACUUCGGGAGAAGGUGCGCCGGUGAGGGUGAAGGACUUGCUCCGUAAGCUCAUGCCGGUCGAAGAUACCAGGCCGCUGCGACUGUUUAUUAAAAACACAGCACUCUGCAAACACGAAAGUGGACGUAUAGGGUGUGACGCCUGCCCGGUGCCGGAAGGUUAAUUGAUGGGGUUAGCUAACGCGAAGCUCUUGAUCGAAGCCCCGGUAAACGGCGGCCGUAACUAUAACGGUCCUAAGGUAGCGAAAUUCCUUGUCGGGUAAGUUCCGACCUGCACGAAUGGCGUAACGAUGGCGGCGCUGUCUCCACCCGAGACUCAGUGAAAUUGAAAUCGCUGUGAAGAUGCAGUGUAUCCGCGGCUAGACGGAAAGACCCCGUGAACCUUUACUAUAGCUUUGCACUGGACUUUGAAUUUGCUUGUGUAGGAUAGGUGGGAGGCUUUGAAGCGUGGACGCCAGUUCGCGUGGAGCCAUCCUUGAAAUACCACCCUGGCAACUUUGAGGUUCUAACUCAGGUCCGUUAUCCGGAUCGAGGACAGUGUAUGGUGGGUAGUUUGACUGGGGCGGUCUCCUCCUAAAGAGUAACGGAGGAGUACGAAGGUGCGCUCAGACCGGUCGGAAAUCGGUCGUAGAGUAUAAAGGCAAAAGCGCGCUUGACUGCGAGACAGACACGUCGAGCAGGUACGAAAGUAGGUCUUAGUGAUCCGGUGGUUCUGUAUGGAAGGGCCAUCGCUCAACGGAUAAAAGGUACUCCGGGGAUAACAGGCUGAUACCGCCCAAGAGUUCAUAUCGACGGCGGUGUUUGGCACCUCGAUGUCGGCUCAUCACAUCCUGGGGCUGAAGCCGGUCCCAAGGGUAUGGCUGUUCGCCAUUUAAAGUGGUACGCGAGCUGGGUUUAGAACGUCGUGAGACAGUUCGGUCCCUAUCUGCCGUGGACGUUUGAGAUUUGAGAGGGGCUGCUCCUAGUACGAGAGGACCGGAGUGGACGAACCUCUGGUGUUCCGGUUGUCACGCCAGUGGCAUUGCCGGGUAGCUAUGUUCGGGAAAGAUAACCGCUGAAAGCAUCUAAGCGGGAAACUUGCCUCAAGAUGAGAUCUCACUGGAACCUUGAGUUCCCUGAAGGGCCGUCGAAGACUACGACGUUGAUAGGUUGGGUGUGUAAGCGCUGUGAGGCGUUGAGCUAACCAAUACUAAUUGCCCGUGAGGCUUGACCAUAUAACACCCAAGCAAUU